ACAUUAUUUCACUUUUUACAAUAUUUUCUUUCAGAAAGUCAAUCUUCAAAAAUGAACACAAAAGUCGCCAUUUGUCUGAUCCUUCCGUGCAUCAUCGCCCUGGUUUCUUGUGCUUAUUUACCUGGUAACUAUGGAUACCAACAACCAAGACAGGUAGCUCCUUAUGCAAACUAUGCUGCCAAUAGUUACCAGGGUCUGAAACAGGCUAAACUCUUCAAUUACCUUCUCGGAGGGUUAUACUUCUUAAACCUCUUCAACUUCACCGGAAACAGAAUUGCUGGUUAGACAACAUUUCAUGGUCAUACGAGGUUAAAAAGCAGUGUUUGGUCAUAGAAGAAAUGUGUGUCAUCAAUUUGGACAUCUUACGUCAGAGCAGACGAUUGAUGCAAACAACAUAGCAUAAAGUUCGAUUUACCAGAAACAGAACACUUCAGAACUUGUAAACAUCUACCUUUUCAAAGAUGUUUUUAUUGAGAUUAAAAAUAGUCUGUACCUUA